CAAUAGCGUAUAUUAAAGCUGUUGCGGUUAAAAAGCUCGUAGUUGGAUUUCUGUCAAGUACAACUGGUCCGCCCUCCGGGUGAGCACAUAGUUUGGUCUUGGCAUCUUGCUGGAAAUUGUUGCUGCACUUGGCUGUGUGGCGCAGUGUCCAGCACUUUCACUUUGAGGAAAUUGGAGUGUUUCAAGCAGGCAAUGCCUUUGAACACAGUAGCAUGGAAUAAUUAGAUUGGGCUUUUGCUCCAAUUUGUCGGUUUCUGGAGCUGAGGUGAGAAUUAAUGGGGAUUGUUGGGUGCAUCCGAAUUUAGCCGUCAGAGGUGAAAUUCUUGGAUCGGCUAAAGACGGACAACUGCGAAAGCGUUUGCCCAGGAUGUUUUCAUUGA
rnacentral:rRNA from 1 species